rnacentral:lncRNA from 1 species
AGCCGUCGGAGGCAGGCGAGAGCCUGUGGAGCUACCGUGAUCCCUAGCAACUCGCACGCAGAGACUGCCAUCCAUCGAUCGCGCGCCAUGUCUUGGUGAGCUGGGCGGUAAUUAAUAAAAUCUAAGUACGUACUACUAUAGCAUCUAGCUAGCUAGCGACCCGAAUUAAUCAUGCAUGGCAAGAUAAGGAGAGAGAAGUAGGGUACACUCAACACACAUCCAUAUGGACCCAGAGGCCGGCCGGUGCGCCGCAGCGUCCUCUAUCUGGUAAUAUAUAUAUAUGUAUAUAUGCCAUAAGGAGCGUUGUUAAUACUCAUAUAUAUGCCACCCAGUACCCACUUCGAUUUUUUGUGUCCUAGCUAGCUAGCUAAUUAAUUACCUUUUCCAAUUUACCUUUUCUUUGUUACUUUUGGCAGUUCUUUUUUCGUUUUAAUUGUGAUUCCGUGUGACUAAGCCAAGUCGUCCACUUGCUGAUUCACUUGGAUUAUUGCUCGUUUUAGUAUAAGAGCAUGCAAGCACGUGGUUUUUUUCUAAGUGCCAAGUGAAUCUCUCAUGUCAGUGAGACUUGGUGCUGGCUAUAUAUGUACAUGGGUGUGCCAUCACUGUAACUGUAGACCAGGAAAAAUAUUAUGUGGUGGACAAGCAAAGAGGUGCAGACAUGCAUGCAUGGUUACACUUUAGCCUUUUCUAGAUGUUGUCACCUUUUGUAGUAGUUUAUAUACAGGAACAGGUUGGGGAAGUUGGCCGUUGAAAAGAUCCUGAGCAAGCAGUUUGGUGGGCAUUCUUUUAAGUUAUAUAUAUACAACUCCAUCUGCUCGCAACCAGUGUCAUUGUUUCAAACAAUAGAUUUGCCACUCCUCAAUAAUAAUGCAAGGGUUUGAUGCUCAUGUGAUUAUAUGAGACUAUAAAGACAGGCAUGGGAGUAGCAAAUCCUCAAAUAUCAC